AGCGACUACUUGCCGCACUUCCGGGCUGUUGCAGCUGCUGUGACUCCAGGAUGAUGGAGACAGAGCGACUUGUGCUACCUCCUCCAGAUCCCCUGGACCUACCCCUUCGGGCCGUGGAGCUCGGAUGCACGGGGCACUGGGAGCUGCUGAACUUGCCUGGAGCUCCAGAGAGUAGCCUUCCCCAUGGCCUCCCUCCUUGUGCCCCAGAUCUGCAGCAAGAAGCAGAACAGUUGUUUCUGUCAUCCCCAGCCUGGCUGCCUCUGCAUGGUGUGGAGCACUCAGCCCGAAAAUGGCAGAGGAAGACGGAUCCCUGGUCUCUUUUGGCUGUCCUGGGAGCCCCAGUCCCAUCCGACCUACAGGCCCAAAGACACCCAACCACAGGCCAGAUACUGGGUUACAAAGAGGUCUUGCUGGAGAACACAAAUCUCUCGGCCACAACCUCCUUGUCUCUUCGCCGGCCUCCAGGGCCAGCCUCCCAGUCCUUAUGGGGAAAUCCAACUCAGUAUCCCUUCUGGCCAGGGGGGAUGGAUGAACCCACCAUAACAGAUCUGAACACACGGGAGGAGGCUGAGGAGGAGAUAGACUUUGAGAAAGAUCUUCUUACUAUUCCACCUGGUUUCAAGAAAGGCAUGGACUUUGCACCAAAAGGUUAGUUUUGGUUUUUGAGUGGGGUGUAGGAGAAGUCAUGUCCUUCUCCUAAGGAACAGAGAUGGACAUGACAAGGUUGACCUUGUUGGCUUGCUCCUCAGAUUGUCCAACUCCAGCUCCUGGACUGCUAAGCCUUAGCUGUCUGUUGGAACCUCUGGAUUUGGGUGGAGGUGACGAGGAUGAGAAUGAGGCAGUGGGACAGCCAGGAGGUCCCAGAGGGGACGCUGUUUCAGCCUCUCCCUGCAGUGCUCCCCUGGCCCGAGCAAGCAGCUUGGAGGACCUAGUGUUGAAGGUUGGUGGUUCUGUGUAGUGGAGGCACGAAAGAGCCUUGCCACCAGGAUGUGGGCUGGCUAGGAUGGGUCUGAGGGGGAAGAAAGGGACAUCUUUUGGGAGGAGUGCUAACUGAGAGCCCUCUGGUUGUGUCUUUAUCACUCCUACCCCUGACUCUUCCAGGAAGCGUCCACAGCUGUAUCCACCCCAGAGGCCCCAGAGCCUCCAUCUCAGGAGCAGUGGGCCAUCCCUGUGGACGCCACCUCCCCUGUUGGUGAUUUCUAUCGCCUCAUUCCCCAGCCAGCCUUCCAGUGGGCAUUUGAGCCAGAUGUGUUUCAGAAACAGGCCAUCCUGCACUUGGAGCGGCAUGACUCUGUCUUUGUCGCAGCUCACACAUCUGCAGGAAAAACAGUUGUGGCUGAAUAUGCCAUUGCCCUGGCCCAGAAACACAUGACACGCACCAUCUACACUUCGCCCAUCAAGGCCCUGAGCAACCAGAAGUUCCGGGACUUCCGAAACACAUUCGGGGAUGUGGGGCUGCUCACCGGGGAUGUACAGCUGCACCCGGAGGCCUCCUGCCUCAUCAUGACCACAGAGAUCCUUCGCUCCAUGCUGUACAGUGGCUCAGAUGUUAUUCGGGACCUGGAGUGGGUCAUCUUUGAUGAGGUUCACUAUAUCAACGAUGCCGAGGUAAGGGCCAUGGGCUCCCCAGAACCCGGCAGUCCUCUCCUUUGGGACCAGUUGAGCGUCUCCCUUAUUCCACACACUCAGGGCACCUUACUGCUUUCUUUACCCCCAUAUGGAAUCCCGUGCCUCUUUAUGGGCAGAAGGGCGGCCCCUGCCCUCAUGUGACCUCCCUUCCCUCUCUGUGCCCAGCGUGGGGUCGUGUGGGAGGAGGUGCUUAUCAUGCUACCUGACCACGUUUCUAUCAUCCUUCUGAGUGCCACUGUCCCCAACGCCCUUGAGUUUGCUGACUGGAUUGGGCGACUGAAGCGUCGUCAGAUCUAUGUGAUUAGCACUGUAACCCGCCCCGUGCCCCUGGAGCACUAUCUUUUCACAGGGAACAGCUCCAAGACCCAGGGGGAGCUCUUUUUGUUGCUGGACUCCCGAGGAGCCUUCCAUACAAAAGGGUAAGCCUCGAGAUGGGGGAAAGAGUUAGGGCUGGGCCUCCAGCUGGACAUGGUGGCUACCCCUCCCUGUGCCCCAGGUACUAUGCAGCUGUGGAGGCCAAGAAGGAGAGAAUGAGCAAACACGCCCAGACCUUUGGGGCCAAGCAGCCCACACAUCAGGGGGGCCCUGCACAGGACCGCGGAGUGUACCUGUCCCUCCUGGCCUCCCUCCGCACACGUGCCCAGUUGCCCGUGGUGGUGUUCACCUUCUCCCGGGGCCGCUGUGAUGAGCAGGCCUCAGGCCUCACCUCCCUUGACCUCACCACCAGUUCGGAGAAGAGCGAGAUCCACCUCUUCCUGCAGCGCUGCCUUGCUCGCCUCCGUGGCUCUGACCGCCAGCUGCCCCAGGUCCUGCACAUGUCAGAGCUCCUGAAUCGCGGCCUGGGUGUGCACCAUAGCGGCAUCCUGCCCAUCCUCAAGGAGAUCGUGGAGAUGCUCUUCAGCCGUGGCCUGGUCAAGGUCUUGUUUGCCACAGAGACCUUUGCCAUGGGAGUAAACAUGCCUGCUCGUACAGUAGUGUUUGACUCCAUGCGCAAACACGAUGGCUCCACCUUCCGGGACCUGCUCCCUGGGGAGUAUGUGCAGAUGGCAGGCCGGGCAGGGCGGAGGGGCCUGGACCCCACAGGCACCGUUAUCCUGCUCUGCAAGGGCCGAGUGCCCGAGAUGGCAGACCUGCACCGCAUGAUGAUGGGGAAGCCGUCCCAGCUGCAGUCCCAGUUCCGCCUCACGUACACUAUGAUCCUCAACUUGCUGCGAGUGGAUGCCCUCAGGGUGGAGGACAUGAUGAAGAGGAGCUUCUCUGAGUUUCCCUCCCGCAAAGACAGCAAGGCCCAUGAACAGGCCCUGGCUGAACUGACCAAGAAGCUGGGAGCUUUGGAGGAGCCUGACAUGACUGGCCAACUGGUCGACCUGCCUGAAUAUUACAGCUGGGGGGAGGAACUGACAGAGACCCAGCACAUGAUCCAGCGACGCAUCAUGGAGUCUGUGAACGGGCUGAAGUCUCUCUCAGCAGGAAGGGUGGUGGUUGUGAAGAAUCAGGAGCAUCACAACGCAUUGGGAGUGAUCCUACAGGUCUCCUCGAACUCCACCAGCAGAGUAUUCACAACCCUGGUCUUGUGUGAUAAGCCCUUGUCCCAGGACCCACAGGACAGGGGGCCAGCCACUGCAGAGGUGGCUUAUCCAGAUGACCUCGUGGGAUUCAAGCUGUUCCUGCCUGAAGGGCCUUGUGACCACACCGUGGUCAAGCUCCAGCCAGGAGAUAUGGCUGCCAUCACCACCAAGGUGCUCCGGGUGAAUGGGGAGAAGAUCUUGGAGGACUUCAGCAAGAGGCAGCAGCCAAAAUUCAAGAAGGAUCCUCCCCUUGCAGCUGUGACCACUGCUGUCCAGGAACUGCUGCGUCUGGCUCAGGCCCACCCAGCCGGACCCCCCACCCUCGACCCUGUCAAUGACCUGCAGCUCAAAGAUAUGUCAGUUGUAGAGGGUGGGCUCCGGGCCCGGAAGCUGGAGGAGCUGAUCCAGGGGGCUCAGUGUGUACACAGCCCCCGUUUUCCUGCCCAGCCCUUGUCUUCAGUGCACCCCUGCUAAGGGGCAAGGAGAAGGCUGACGGGUGGCUCUCUGCAGUACCUGAAGCUGCGGGAGCGAAUGCAGAUACAGAAGGAGAUGGAGCGGCUGCGCUUCCUACUGUCGGAUCAGUCACUGCUGCUGCUUCCUGAGUACCAUCAGCGAGUAGAGGUGGGUGGGGCAGUGGUUGGGGCAGGGGGGCUAGGGGACAGCAGUGUGUCCAAUGCCCACCCUUUUUCUUGCAGGUGCUCCGAACCCUGGGUUACGUGGACGAGGCGGGCACUGUGAAGCUGGCAGGGCGGGUGGCUUGUGCCAUGAGCAGCCAUGAGUUGCUCCUCACUGAGCUCAUGUUUGACAAUGCACUGAGCACCCUGCGGCCUGAGGAGAUUGCUGCCUUGCUCUCUGGCCUGGUCUGCCAGAGCCCUGGGGACGCUGGGGAUCAGCUCCCAAACACCCUCAAGCAGGGAAUAGAACGUGUCCGGGCUGUGGCCAAGCGGAUUGGUGAGGUCCAGGUGGCUUGUGGCCUGAACCAGACGGUGGAGGAAUUUGUGGGGGAGCUGAAUUUUGGGCUGGUUGAGGUUGUGUAUGAGUGGGCCCGGGGCAUGGUGAGUACCUGAGGUUUGGGAUUUUGCAGACGGCUGGCUGGGGAGAGUCUGCCCAGGCUGAGCGCAUCCAGUCCUCACCCUACUUUCCCCACAGCCCUUCUCCGAGUUGGCAGGGCUCUCAGGGACCCCUGAGGGCCUGGUGGUCCGCUGCAUUCAGCGCCUGGCUGAGAUGUGUCGCUCACUGCGGGGGGCAGCCCGCCUGGUAGGAGAGCCUGUGCUGGGUGCCAAGAUGGAGACAGCGGCUACCUUGCUACGGCGGGACAUCGUAUUUGCGGCCAGCCUUUACACCCAGUGAAUGCCCCAUGUAAAAAUGUGAUGAUAAAACAGCAAA
rnacentral:sRNA from 1 species